rnacentral:rRNA from 1 species
AGAGUUUGAUCAUGGCUCAGAACGAACGCUGGCGGCGUGGAUAAGACAUGCNGUCGAACGCUGGUUUGCGGGUAGCAAUAUUCGCAGACCGGAGUGGCGCAAGGGUGCGUAACACGUGGAUCAUCUGCCGUGAAGUCCGGAAUAACCUGCUGAAAGGCGAGCUAAUGCCGGAUGUGAACGCAAGUUCAAAGUUGGGGACCGUAAGGCCUGACGCUUCACGAUGAGUCCGCGGCCUAUCAGCUAGUUGGCGGGGUAACGGCCCACCAAGGCAUAGACGGGUAGCUGGUCUGAGAGGACGACCAGCCACACUGGAACUGAGACACGGUCCAGACACCUACGGGUGGCAGCAGUCGAGAAUUUUUCUCAAUGGGCGAAAGCCUGAAGGAGCGACGCCGCGUGGGGGAUGAAUGGCUUCGGCCCGUAAACCCCUGUCAUUUGCGAACAAAUUGUUUUACCCAAUACGUAAAGCAUUGAUUGUAGCGGAAGAGGAAGGGACGGCUAACUCUGUGCCAGCAGCCGCGGUAAUACAGAGGUCCCAAGCGUUGUUCGGAUUCGCUGGGCGUAAAGGGUGCGUAGGCGGCCGGGGAAGUCUGAUGUGAAAUCCCGCAGCUUAACUGCGGAACUGCAUUGGAUACUCUCCGGCUCGAGGAAUGGAGGGGAGACUGGAAUUCUCGGUGUAGCAGUGAAAUGCGUAGAUAUCGAGAGGAACACCAGUGGCGAAGGCGGGUCUCUGGACAUUUCCUGACGCUGAGGCACGAAAGCCAGGGGAGCAAACGGGAUUAGAUACCCCCGUAGUCC